rnacentral:rRNA from 1 species
GAUGAACGCUGGCGGCGUGCCUAAUACAUGCAAGUCGAGCGAACAGAUGAGGAGCUUGCUCCUCUGACGUUAGCGGCGGACGGGUGAGUAACACGUGGAUAACCUACCUAUAAGACUGGGAUAACUUCGGGAAACCGGAGCUAAUACCGGAUAAUAUAUUGAACCGCAUGGUUCAAUAGUGAAAGACGGUUUUGCUGUCACUUAUAGAUGGAUCCGCGCCGCAUUUAGCUAGUUGGUAAGGUAACGGCUUACCAAGGCAACGAUGCGUAGCCGACCUGAGAGGGUGAUCGGCCACACUGGAACUGAGACACGGUCCAGACUCCUACGGGAGGCAGCAGUAGGGAAUCUUCCGCAAUGGGCGAAAGCCUGACGGAGCAACGCCGCGUGAGUGAUGAAGGUCUUCGGAUCGUAAAACUCUGUUAUUAGGGAAGAACAAAUGUGUAAGUAACUAUGCACGUCUUGACGGUACCUAAUCAGAAGGCCACGGCUAACUACGUG